rnacentral:rRNA from 1 species
GACGAACCGUGCGAACGUUGUUCGGAAUCACUGGGCUUAAAGGGCGCGUAGGCGGACUGCCAAGUCCGGGGUGAAAUCCUCCGGCUUAACCGGAGAAUUGCCUGGGAUACUGGCGGUCUUGAGGGAGGUAGGGGCACGCGGAACUUCCGGUGGAGCGGUGAAAUGCGUUGAUAUCGGAAGGAACGCCGGUGGCGAAAGCGGCGUGCUGGCCCUCUUCUGACGCUGAGGCGCGAAAGCCAGGGGGAGCGAACGGG